GCAUUAGUGGGGUAGUGGUAACCUGGGUCGUUGCCAUCACAAGGUCUGUCCUGAUCUCGACCCGCCGGGAGUUCGAUUCUCUCCUAAUGCA